UGGGGAAUAUUGGACAAUGGGCGAAAGCCUGAUCCAGCCAUGCCGCGUGUGUGAAGAAGGUCUUCGGAUUGUAAAGCACUUUAAGUUGGGAGGAAGGGCAGUAAAUUAAUACUUUGCUGUUUUGACGUUACCGACAGAAUAAGCACCGGCUAACUCUGUGCCAGCAGCCGCGGUAAUACAGAGGGUGCAAGCGUUAAUCGGAAUUACUGGGCGUAAAGCGCGCGUAGGUGGUUCGUUAAGUUGGAUGUGAAAUCCCCGGGCUCAACCUGGGAACUGCAUUCAAAACUGACGAGCUAGAGUAUGGUAGAGGGUGGUGGAAUUUCCUGUGUAGCGGUGAAAUGCGUAGAUAUAGGAAGGAACACCAGUGGCGAAGGCGACCACCUGGACUGAUACUGACACUGAGGUGCGAAAGCGUGGGGAGCAAAAGCAGGAUUA
rnacentral:rRNA from 1 species